rnacentral:lncRNA from 1 species
CACUUGAGCCCAGGAGGUGGAAGUUGCAGUGAGCUGAAAUCAUGUAAUUUCACUCUAGCCUGGGCAAAUAGUGAGACCUUGUCUCAACAAAUAAUAAAUAAAUAAAAUAAAUAAAAAUAAAUAUUGUACUAUUAAGAUUUUAGUUUGCUUUAGAAGUCCACUUAAAAAACAACUAAACAGUGUACAGGCAUACCUCGUUUUAUCGCGCUUCACUUUUCUCGGCAGAUACUGCAUUAAACAUAACUUUUAUAUACGCUGGGAAAUAAAAAAUUUCAUGCGACUUGCUCUAUUGUGAUACUCUAUUGCAGUGGUCUGGAACCAAACCUACUUCCGUCUUUACAUAAAACACCUGAAAUACAAGUCAUCAUUUCUUGCUUGAGUUACUGCAAUAGCUUCCCUCCUUCCACUGUUGUCUUUUUUUUUUUUUUUUUUUUUUUUAGACAUCUCCUGCUUACCAUCCUACAAUGGUUGCCUUUCACAUUUAGAAGGAAAUCCAUAUUCCUUAUUUCGAAAAAGUCCCACACAAGUUUACCUUUCUGUCCCCUCUUCCACGUGUAAAAAAGAGACUAAGAACUGGCCUUUCCUU